GACAGAGGUCCCGAGCGUUAGGCGGAAUCACUGGGCUUAAAGCGUGUGUAGGCGGAUCGUUAAGUGCCUUGUGAAAUCCCAUGGUUUAACCAUGGAACUGCUUGGCAUACUGGCGGUCUUGAGCCACUUAGGGGCAACCGGAACAAAUGGUGGAGCGGUGAAAUGCGCAGAUAUCAUUUGGAACGCCAAUGGUGAAAACAGGUUGCUGGGAGUGUGCUGACGCUGAGACACGAAAGCCAGGGGAGCGAACAGG
rnacentral:rRNA from 1 species